GAUGAACGCUGGCGGCGUGCCUAAUACAUGCAAGUCGAGCGAACAGACGAGGAGCUUGCUCCUCUGACGUUAGCGGCGGACGGGUGAGUAACACGUGGAUAACCUACCUAUAGGACUGGGAUAACUUCGGGAAACCGGAGCUAAUCCCGUAUAAUAUCUUGAACCGCAUGGUUCAAUAGUGAAAGACGGUUUUGCUGUCACUUAUAGAUGGAUCCGCGCCGCAUUAGCUAGUUGGUAAGGUAACGGCUUAUCAAGGCAACGAUGCGUAGCCGACCUGAGAGAGUGAUCGGCCACACUGGAACGGAGACACGGUCCAGGCUCCUACGGGAGGCAGCAGUAGGGAAUCUUCCGCAAUGGGCGAAAGCUUGACGGAGCAACGCCGCGUGAGUGAUGGAGGUCUUCGGAUCGGAAAACUCUGUUACUAGGGAAGAACAAAUGUGUAAGUAACUAUGCACGUAUUGACGGUACCUAAUCAGAAAGCCACGGCUAACUACGUG
rnacentral:rRNA from 1 species